AAGACCUUGCGCUUUUGGAGCGGCCGAUGCCUGAUUAGCUUGUUGGUAAGGUAAAAGCUUACCAAGGCUUCGAUCAGUAGCUGGUCUGAGAGGACGGCCAGCCACACUGGGACUGAGACACGGCCCAGACUCCUACGGGAGGCAGCAGUGGGGAAUUUUGGACAAUGGGGGCAGCCCUGAUCCAGCCAUGCCGCGUGAGUGAAGAAGGCCUUCGGGUUGUAAAGCUCUUUCAGCCGGAACGAAACGGUUACGGUUAAUACCCGUGAUUACUGACGGUACCGGAAGAAGAAGCACCGGCUAACUACGUGCCAGCAGCCGCGGUAAUACGUAGGGUGCGAGCGUUAAUCGGAAUUACUGGGCGUAAAGCGUGCGCAGGUGGUUUUGUAAGUCAGAUGUGAAAUCCCCGGGCUUAACCUGGGAACU
rnacentral:rRNA from 1 species